GAAAUGAUAACUAUAGUUCUCUAGUGAAAAAGUUAGGUUGAAUUUCAAUGUGUUCAGAUUUAACACUUACAUUCAUCUUUAUUCUUAUUAUUCAUGUGUUUUUUUCCAGGACAUCCCUCUACGGUCUACCAUCUCCAGGAUCACUGAGAGCUUUGAGGAGUCUCUAGAGGAACCGUUCUCCUUGCCCUCGGCUCCGUUCAGCAGCUAUAAGAACAAAUCCCAGAAGAGCAAGUUUGACGAGGAGCUGCACAACGAGAUGACCACCACCAUCGAUGAGCUCAGCAGCAAGUA